UGGACGUCAGCUUCAGAAACUGAGUGUCCCUUCGUCCUUGAUCAGCUGAUGUAUCUUGAAAGAAGUUGCUGUGGCCAAUGUCAAAGAGGUUAUUGCCUAAGUUCUCCUCUAGGACUUGGAUGGAUUCCAGUCUCACAUUAAGGUGGAAGCCUGCAGAGUCGAAGGACAAAAUGGGGCGUCUACAAUUGGAAACUGCCAUGUCGAGAUGUGAGACAAGAUGAAUGAAAUAGGCUUACGAAAUAAAGAUCUCUAAUGGAAAAGAGAAACUAGGAGACGAAAUGGAUAAAAAUGAAAACAGUGAGGAGGGCAAGACCUCAACAAAAGAUCUAAGAAGAAAAGAAAAUACAUAAACAUGAUCUGGGAAACCCUGAAAGGAAAAGGAGGGAGGUUUUCUUCCCCCAACUCUUUCAUGUGAGGGGUGACAGCUAAUGUUAUUUCUCAAGGACAGUGAUAAAAAAACAAAAUUGCAGAGGGUAGCUGCUUCCUGCAGAGAGCAGAAGAGUUUUACUAACAGCCCUCUGUGUGUAAGCACUACAUAAACAGGGGGAAAAAAAACAGCAUCCCCGGUCCUCAAGGCUUUAGACAAUGUGCAAAACUUGAAGGCCACACAGAAA
rnacentral:lncRNA from 1 species